rnacentral:rRNA from 1 species
AGCUCCAAUAGCGUAUAUUAAAGUUGUUGCAGUUAAAAAGCUCGUAGUUGGAUUUCUGACUGUGUGCGCCUGUCCCGGCCCUAUGGGUCGCGUGACGGAGUGUCGCCGGUCAUCCUUCUGGGAAACGUAGCUGGGACGCAAGUCCUUGGUUACGGGCCUCAGAUCGUUUACUUUGAGAAAAUUAGAGUGUUUAAGGCAGGCAUAUGCCGUGAAUACAUUAGCAUGGAAUAAUAAGAUAGGACUUCGGUCUUAUUUUGUUGGUUUCCGGGACUGAAGGGGGUGCUCGUACCGUGUGGCCAGCGGUGAAAUGCUUGGACUCACAUGUGACGAACUUAUGCGAAAGCAUUCACCAAGGAUGUCUUCU